rnacentral:lncRNA from 1 species
GUGUAAACCUGUUCCUUGUGGCUUAGAAGCUGUCGCCAUCAUCAUCGUCACCUUAACAAUAAAAAUGGCAAAACCACUACCAUCUGCUGAGCUCCAGAUGUGUGACAGGCACUGUGCCAGGAGCCUGAUCGUGUCACUUCCGUGGCUUCCCUUGGAGGCCGGAGGAGCCUGCAGACCUCGCCCGGCAAUGCGGGGGUUACCUUCUUCCAGAAAGGACUCGUUGCCUGUUCAGUGGAUAACCUGUAUCAAGGACUUCCCAUGGGCUGGGGAUUACACGGAAGAGCAAUAAUACACUGUGAUUCCUGCCUCCAUGGAGCUGACCGUCCAGUAGGGAGACAGACCUUAGUAAUUAUAUACGGAAGGGAAACUUACAAAUAGGGAUAAGUGGUUUGACAGGAAGUUCCAUGGGGCCAUGACAGCAUUUAUGGCGACGUCUGAUCCGGGCAGGGGGCUAGCAAAGAUUCUUCUGGGGAAGAAAAGAUUUAGCAGGGAUCUCAAGAAAUUAACUGGGUGAAGAGGAAAGCAGAGAGAGUUUAGAUAGAGAGCGACCUGUGCAAAGGCCCUGUGGUCUGAGGAACGUGGAUCCAGGAGGGGCUGAAAGGAGGCUAAGGUAGCUGGGCUGUGGUGGGCGGGCCUCAAAGGGCAUGAUUCACUGAGAAGCUGACCUCGGGAACUUGACCUCCUGUUCACCUCACGAUACCUUGAGUGUGCUGGGCAGGUAGUCUAGAGCUCACAGAACGCUGGAGAGGGCCCCGGAGUCCCCCAUGAGAAGGAGAGAUCUGUGGUAUUUUCAUCCCGGUGGGGAGAGGUGAGGGGCACCUGGAGGCCGGAGAGACCCGUCCCUCCACUGGGAACAGGCUUUGUACAGCCGUGGUCACUCUGGCCUGUCCAUUUGUGAUGGAGAGAACAGAACAAGGCCCUUGGCAUGAGCCUGUCGUCAUCUUUUAUAAGGUCACCAACGUCCUUGUAAAAUGGCACAGCCGCACCUUUUUGGUCCUUGUCCAGGGAAGAAUGGAACGCCAUGAAGGGGUUCGCACCAGGAGGCAUUCCUGCUCUUGUCUGAGUUUGGACCAGAUGGCGCUGGCUGCGGAGGGAGCUGACAGGAGAGACCCCAGCAAGGACGAGAAAAGCCCAGUUAGCUGGUGCUGCCAGCUCCGGGACCAGGACCUGGGACAGAGGAUGCCGGGAAGCAGUUCACGGGACUGAAAGGUGUUAGUUAUGAAAACAGAGGAGAGAAUUGCAACUGAAGAGCAAAGCGGCCAGAGACAGGGCUGACCCGGUGCCGGAUGCCUGGCAAGGGACAGAGGCACUCCGGCGACUUUCAACAGAUUUGGGGUGUGUGUGUGUGUGUGUGUGUGUGUGUGUGUGUGUGUGUGUACUUGCAUGUGCCUGUAUGUAUGCAUGUGUGUUUGUGUGUCUGUGUACAGGGAUCUGUGCAAACAUGUAUGUGUGUCUGUGCGUGUGUACAUGUCUGUGUGUAUAUGUGUGUGU